UUACUGGUAGGUUAUUUAAACUGACAAAUUGUGGUUUUGUAGAUUACAUUUUUUUAGUUGUAUC
rnacentral:tRNA from 1 species